rnacentral:lncRNA from 1 species
GAAAUGGUAUAUUGUUUGAACACUAAGUAAUGAUGUUGUGGUAAAAGUAUAUGUGUGAAAAAGGUGUGAUAAUUGUGAUUUGUGAAAUGUGGACUAAAUUGUAGAGGAUAGAGAAAUGAGAAAUCUUUUUCGAAAUAUUUAUGUAAAGUAUUUAAAUAUAUGAAAUGCAGCUUUAAUGCCCAAGUAGACAGAAUUUAGAGCUACUAGGAUAUUAGUGGCAUGCCAUUAAGGGACCUUAGCGCGCUCUCCGAUUAUUAGCACAUUAGUGCUCUCUAUUUAAUAGUGCAUAAUAAUGCACCUCUGUGUUUGUUCCGUACAUUUGGUAUGUUCUAUAAAGUCUACUUUAGGAUACGAAUAUGAGUUGUGAAUAAAAGUGAAUCAUUAAUGUGUUGAGGUAAGUUUAAUAACUUACAAAAGGUAAGUUAAAUUUCAUUAAAGUAAGGUAUAGUUCAAGAAACUUGUAUGUGUGUAAAUAUGUAUUAGUUGAAUAAGUUGUGUAAAUA